rnacentral:rRNA from 1 species
GAUGAACGCUAGCGGCAGGCCUAACACAUGCAAGUCGAGGGGCAUCGCGGGUAGCAAUACCUGGCGGCGACCGGCGCACGGGUGCGUAACACGUAUGCAAUCUGCCUUACGCUGGGGGAUAACCCGGAGAAAUCCGGACUAAUACCCCAUGGCGCGCAGGGGUGGCAUCACCCCAGCGCUAAAGAUUAAUCGGCGUAAGAUGAGCAUGCGUCCUAUUAGCUAGAUGGCGGGGUAACGGCCCACCAUGGCUACGAUAGGUAGGGGUUCUGAGAGGAAGGUCCCCCACACUGGUACUGAGACACGGACCAGACUCCUACGGGAGGCAGCAGUGAGGAAUAUUGGUCAAUGGGCGCAAGCCUGAACCAGCCAUGCCGCGUGCAGGAUGACGGCCCUACGGGUUGUAAACUGCUUUUGUACGGGGGCAAACCCUUCCUUGCGAGGGAGGUUGAGAGUACCGUACGAAUAAGGAUCGGCUAACUCCGUGCCAGCAGCCGCGGUAAGAC